UAGGGAAUCUUCCGCAAUGGACGAAAGUCUGACGGAGCGACGCCGCGUGAGCGAAGAAGGUCUUCGGAUCGUAAAGCUCUGUUGUUAGGGAAGAAGAAGUGCCGUUCGAACAGGGCGGCACGGUGACGGUACCUAACGAGAAAGCCCCGGCUAACUACGUGCCAGCAGUCGCGGUAAUACGUAGGGGGCGAGCGUUGUCCGGAAUUAUUGGGCGUAAAGCGCGCGCAGGCGGUCCCUUAAGUCUGAUGUGAAAGCCCACGGCUUAACCGUGGAGGGUCAUUGGAAACUGGGGGACUUGAGUGCAGAAGAGGAGAGCGGAAUUCCACGUGUAGCGGUGAAAUGCGUAGAGAUGUGGAGGAACACCAGUGGCGAAGGCGGCUCUCUGGUCUGUAACUGACGCUGAGGCGCGAAAGCGUGGGGAGCAAACAGG
rnacentral:rRNA from 1 species